rnacentral:rRNA from 1 species
GACGAACGCUGGCGGCGUGCUUAACACAUGCGAGUCGAACGGAAAGGCCCCUUUGGGGGUACUCGAGUGGCGAACGGGUGAGUAACACGUGAGUAACCUGCCCUUGACUUCGGGAUAACUUCAGGAAACUGGGGCUAAUACCGGAUAGGAAUCCUUGCUGCAUGGGGGGGGUUGGAAAGCUUCGGCGGUUUUGGAUGGACUCGCGGCUUAUCAGCUUGUUGGUGGGGUAGUGGCUUACCAAGGCUUUGACGGGUAGCCGGCCUGAGAGGGCGACCGGCCACAUUGGGACUGAGAUACGGCCCAGACUCCUACGGGAGGCAGCAGUGGGGAAUAUUGCACAAUGGGCGGAAGCCUGAUGCAGCAACGCCGCGUGCGGGAUGACGGCCUUCGGGUUGUAAACCGCUUUCAGCAGGGGCGAAGCUUGUGGUGACGGUACCUGCAGAAGAAGCACCGGCUAACUACGUG